rnacentral:rRNA from 1 species
GGUGAACCUGCGGAAGGAUCAUUAUUGAAUAAUUCUUGAU